rnacentral:lncRNA from 1 species
GCCACUGCAACUGUUUCUCCGUCUUAGAAACUUCUGUGGAUCACAGACGAGCUAUGCUCCCGUGGUCGUGAAUCUUAACGAGUGACAACCCGCAAUUUUACCGUAAUUACUGAAGCCUUUCCCCUCCUUUUUUUUUUUUUUUCCUUUACCCUGACUGAACAUGGAUAAAUGCUUAUCUUGAAUUUGAGGAAUGAUAAAUGAAGAUUUUGAGUUAUAGAUUGUGGGUUUUAUUUGUGUUAGUAAAUUUUUUUGGUUUGGUUGGGUUCUGUUGAGUUUUUUUGGUGGUUGAAGUAUCUUUAAUGCCUUCUUGUGCUUUGGUUUGUUUUUUCUUUGCGGUUUUUUUAGUUUUACUGAUAUUACUGUUAGAAUGGUGCUAUGACAAUUCCAUUUAUUGAUUUAUUUGAUAGAUGCUUCACAAUUUUGUGUUAUCAUGUGAAUUUUAUGGUGCCCUUGUAUCAUCUUGAACAAAAUCAACUUCUCAUUUUUGUAACUUUUUGAGUUUUGGAAUUACUUAUUUGAGUUUUACUUCACGAGGGUUGUUGUGGAGGUAAAGGAAGAGACAAUGUCCAACAUUAAUAGUAUCACCUAACACAUUUAUUGUUGAACACCUAUGGGUGAUCAGCUUGGAAAAUGAGAUAAUGGGCUUUCUACUUGUCUAUGCCAUAUCGGUCUGGGAAUUACAGUCCAAUCCUGUGAAGCCUCAUUGAAAAUUUGGGGUCAUCUUCUAAGAAGUGAUAGCCGAUAACAACUCAACUUCAAGGCCAAUAUGAACAUUUUAAAAGUUUGAAAAGGUAUGUCUUCUUUUUCCAUUGAAGAAGUUUGUGAUGGUGAUUCUUCCAUUUUUCUGUUUUCAGAGCUUUGUGCUUGUAUUUCUUUUUGCUCUGUGAUGCAGUAUGUGUUGAAAGAUCAGCAACUGAGACCUAGAGAGCUAGAGCGCAGAUGGGAAGCUGAAUUCUUGAGGUACCACAGGUGUCUUCUUGCCUCAAUGUAAAUAAAGGCUGAUUGAGUAAUUGGGUCUUUUUUCUUUUCCUCUCUCUCUCUCUCUCUCUCUCAUGUCAGGUGCUUAUUUAUACCUUAAUACUUGGUGGCAUUUGGCUAGCUUUAGUUGUUUAGGUCAAUAAAUUAACUCCUAAUAUAUAACUCAUUUCAUUCUUUUAGCUGAUUGUGAUAUCCCAUAUUGGAUAGGGGAAAAAGUUCAUAGAACUAUAUAUGUAUGGGCUCCUUUUAACCUUGUAGAUGCGUUUUAAAGCUGUGGGAGUCCCUAUCUACAUGGUUGGGAGCAAGCCAUUACAAAUGGUAUUAGAGUUGAGUCUUGAUCUCGAUGUGGAGGUUAGUUUGGACUCAUGAGGGGUGUAUGUUUCUUUGGCCUUGCAAUCUUGUAGGACACAAUGAGGAUGUUGUGUGUGCAUAGAGGGGGGAUGAUUAUGAUAUCUCAUAUCGGAUAAGGGAAAAAUUUUCUGAGGCUAUAUAUGUUUAGACUUCUCUUAACCUUGUAGACGUUUUUUUAAUGCCAUAAGGGCCCUUUAGGCCUGGAGCGAACAAUAUCUAUAUGGUUGGGAGCAAGUCAUUACAAAUUUGGAUCGACCCGCUCCCAAUUGUGUAAAUAUUGUCCGGUUUAGGCUCAAAGGGCUCUUAAAGCUUUAAAACACAUCUAAUUGGUUAAGAUGAACCCAGACAUAUAUAGUGCUAGAGACUUUUUCCCUUAUCUGAUGUGGAAUAUCAUAAUUACUCCCCCAUGUAGAGAGAAUAUCCUCGUUGUAUCCCAUGGGAUUGCGAGGUCAAAUAGACAGACUCUCCUCACAAGGCCAAACAAACUUCGCAUCAAAGUCAAAGGUUGACUUUGAUACCAUUUGUCCACUCUGGCUCAGAGAGCCCUCAUGGCUUUAAAACGCAUCUACUUGGUUAAGAGGAGCCUAUACAUGUCGUAGAAGAUACAAUUAUGUUAUAUACAAUUGUUUCAUAUGCAACUAUGUGUGUACACAACUAUGUCACAUAAAACGAUGUGUGUACACAAUUGUGUAUAUCUAUGUACAAUUGUGUGCAUACACAGUUGUGUGUGGAUUUGUGUAUAUAAUCCUUGAUUUGUAGGGAUCUUUAAUAUUUCUUUUUUGUUGCUAUAUAUAUUUCAAGGGUUGUAUACAUUUAAUAUAUGAAUGAAAAAUACAAUUUUUCUCCACAUGGUACCAAAGUCGAAUUAGGCUCCUUGUGAUUUAUUUAUUUUUUUUCCAGCCUUCAUUGUUGAUUUGUAGUACCCUUUAUCCUCUGUUUUUUUUAACCCCAGUUUAAUGGCCUUUAUUGUCAUUUCAAAAGCACUUUGCUAUAUUUUUCUCUAGAAUUAUGUCCAAAACAACAAAUAAGGACACUAUUUAGUGUACCUACUGCAAGAAGCCGAAACACACAAGAGAUCAGUGUUGGAAACUCUAUGGAAAACCUCAAACUUUGAGUAAAUAUUGAGGUUUCAAGGGUGGACAGUAGAGAACUCAAGCACAGUUCACCAAAUCUUAGAUCAAUGAAAACCUGUUACAAGAGAGGUUGAAUUCUAGUGGUAGUGAAUAUAUUAACAAGAGAUUGAGAAAUUGAAGAAUCUCCUAAGAACGCUUGAGAGUCCUAGUGAAGUUUACUUUCUUGCUCAGUUAGGUAAGCAUUCCCUGUCUCUUACUUUUAGUGUCUCAGAUAUGUCUUUCCUAGGCUCUUAGGUCAUCGACUGUGGACACAUAUGGUGUGUACAUUAAACCACUGUCCAACUUCUCCUUAAUAAAAUGUCUAUCUACUUCCACAUGCUUGGUUUUGCCAUGUUGUAUCGGGUUCUGUGCAAUGUUGAUGGUUGACUUAUUGUCGCAAUAAAGUCUCAUUGUUGUCUUCCAUUUAAUCUUUAAGUUCUCCAAGAUAAUCUUUAGCCAAAGCAGCUUACAGAUUCCUUGAUCCAUUGCACGAAACUUUGCUUCUACAAUAGAUCUUGCAACAACGUUUUAUUUCUUACUCCUCCAAGUUACCGAGUUCCCUCCUAGAAAAGUGCAAUAUCCUAUAAUAGACCUCUGACCAACAACUGAUCCUACAUAAUCUACAUCAAUAUAGGCCUCCAAUGAUAGCUCAGUGCUUUUCUUAAACAAGAUUCACAACUUGAGGGGGAGUGUGAAAGAUAUAGCUAUGUCCUAUAUGAGGUUGUGUGUGUACACAACUGUGUAUAUCUAUGUACAAUUGUGUGCAUACACAUAUGUGUGGAUUUGUGUAUAUAAUCCUUGAUUUGUAGGGAUCUUUGAUAUUUCUUCUUUAUUCUUUCUGUUGAGCUGUAAAUAGAAUAGGAGAAUUAUUUUCCUAUUAUGUUAGUUUCCUAUUUUUGUAAAUAGAUAGUUUUAUGAUUUAGGAAUAAGUUAUGAUUUAGGAAUAAGUUAGUUUAGGAAUAAGUUAGUUUCCUAUUUCUUUUCUUGUAAUCUCCUAUAUAAACUGUGUAUAGUCAAUCUAAUAGACAAAACUUAUUAUUUUUCAUCCCAUAUUUCGUGUCAUGGUAUUAGAGUUGUAGGUUUUUAAGACCUGAGCAUCAUUCUGGCCUUCAUCGCCAUUUUUCUGGCCUUCAUAGCUGGAUUUUUUUUUAUUCACGUGUUCUUUACAAACCUAUUGGAACUUGUUCAAUAGUGAAGAAAUGGAGAAGCUGAUAAGCUUGUUGGGAUCCCUUGACAAACCUACUGGAACUUGUUCUUUGGCUCUUUCAGGUACACCUUCACUCUCUUUUUGCAUAAAUGCCUUACAUAGGGUUUAUGAUGAUUCUUGGAUAAUAGACUCCAAUGCCACAGACCAUAUGACCUCCAAAUCUCAACUUUUCCAUACCUAUACCCCAAACCCAAGUAACAAGAAAAUUGCAGUGGCUAAUGGCUCUUUAGCUACCGUUGCAGGUUUCGGAGACAUAUACAUCACACCUACCCUUAUUCUUAAAAAUGUCCUCCAUGUACCAAAAUUGUCGGCCAACCUUGUUUCCAUUCAAAAGCUUACCCAAUAUCUUAAAUGUUAUGUUAUUUUUUUCCCUUCUUAUUGUGUUUUUCAGGAACAAGGCUCGUGGAGGAGGAUUGGACUUGCUAAGGAAAGGAGCGGUCUUUAUCACCUUGAAUCAUCUCAGAAAACUAGUAAUAAUUUGUCGUUGUCUUUUCUCAGUUCCUCAAAUAAAGAUACCAUUUGGUUGUAUCACCUACGUUUAGGUCAUCCAUAUUUUAGGGUUUUAAAGGUCAUGUUUCCUUAUUUGUUCCAAGGAUUAGAUAUUUAUGAGUUUCAUUGCGAAACUUGUGAAUUGGCAAAACAUACUUGUGUUUCUUUUCCUAUUAGCAAUAAAAUAAGUUCUCAUCAUUUUCAUUUGAUUCAUAGUGACAUAUGGGGUCCUUCGACUAUACCUAAUGUUUCUGGGGCUUGUUGGUUUGUAUCCUUAAUUGAUGACUGCACUUGGGUUACAUGAAUCUUUCUUCUUAAACAAAAAUCUGAUGUUAGUAUUGUUAUACCUAAUUUCCACUCAAUGGUUCAAAACCAAUUUGGGGUUAAAAUAAAAAUGGGCAUUUACUCAACACAACCCAAGCCUUACUCUUUCAAGGGAAUGUUCCUAAGUCCUAUUGGGGGGAAGUUGUUCUUACUGCCACAUACAUGAUAAAUAAAAUUCUCUCACGAGUGUUAGACAACCAAAGCCCCGUAGAGAUACUUAAGAGUUUCUAUUUAGGUGCACUGCAUUUGUUCAUGUCCACAGCCAACAUAGAGACAAGCUAGACCCCCGAGCCAUAAAAUGUGUCUUCCUUGGUUACUUAUCCACUAAAAAAGGAUACAAGUGUUACAAUCCUUCAGCCAAAAAAUUUUACAUCUCUGCAGAUGUCACCUUCACAAAAAAUAAAUCUUUUUUCCCCAAGUCCUCUCUUCAGGGAGAGAUUUCAAUAAUGAAAGAUAGUCCUUGUGAGUCCUUUGAACCUCUUGAUCUUCCUCAUGUCUCAACCCAUGGUGAUGAAGAACCUGAGUCAUUCGAGUCAAUCACACCUGAGUCACCCAAUUUUACCACUGAACCCGUGUCAUCCCCUGUUCCAACUAGUGUCACUUGCAAUUUUUCACAGUUUCCUAAGGUGUAUUCAAGGGAAAAGGCCAUUGCAGAACAAAAGCAUGUCCAAGAAUCCAACUCAGACCGUGGGAGUGAAAUCACGGUAAGAUCAGACCCACCUUUACAAACACAACUUGGUGAAACUUCCACUGACUCAAUAAACAACCUAGACCUAGACCUUCCCAUUGCUGUCAGAAAAGGCACCAAAGAAUGCACUAACCGACCACUUUAUCCACUAUCACACUAUGUGUCUCUUAAGCACCUAUCACCAGCCCACAAGAAUUUUAUUGUGAGUCUAAACACCACUAUCAUCCCUAACAUUGUUUCUGAGGCAUUGACAAAAAAGGAAUGGAAGGAUGCUAUGAGAGAGGAGAUGAGUGCAUUAGAAAAGAAUAAAACAUGGGAGAUUGUUGAAAGACUGAAAGGGAAAAACAUUGUUGAUUGCAAGUGGAUUUUCACACUGAAAUAUAAGGUUGAUGGAUCUCUUGAGAGACAUAAAGCAAGAUUAGUAGCCAAAUGGUACACUCAAACUUAUGGAGUUGAUUAUCAAGAGACUUUUGUUCUAGUUGCAAAAAUGAAUACUGUAAGAAUCCUGCUGUCACUGGCUGCCCACUACAAUUGGCAACUCCUACAGUAUGAUGUUAAGAAUGCAUUUCUUUAUGGUGAUUUAGAUGAAGAGAUUUACAUGAACAUCCCACUGCGAUUUGAGGGAAACACAGGUAACAAGGUGUGCAAGCUGAAAAAGGCCCUUUAUGGGCUAAAACAAUCUCUUAAGGCUUGGUUUGGGAGAUUUGCAAAAGUCAUGAAAGAGUCUGGAUACAUACAAAGCCAAGGUGACCACACUCUCUUUAUUAAGCACUCGGUUGUAAGGGGAGUAAUUGCUCUUCUAAUCUAUGUUGACGACAUCAUAGUGACUAUAAAUGAUGAGAGAGAAAAGCAUGAAGUGAAGUAGAGAUUAGCAACAAAAUUUGAGAUAAAGAAACUAGGGAAACUGAAGUGCUUCCUCGGUAUUGAGGUGGCAUAUUCCACACAAGGGAUCUUCAUCUCUCAAAAAAAGUAUGUGACUGAUUUAUUGGCAGAAACAGGGAAGAUUGGGUGUAAACCAGUCUCUACCCCAAUGGAUCCAAACCACAAGUUUGGAGAAGCUAAAGAAGAACCAGUGGUAGAUAAAAGAAUGUACCAAAGGCUGGUUGGUAGGCUCAUAUACCUUGCUCACACUCGGCCAGACAUCGCCUACUCGGUGAGCGUGAUCAGUCAAUUCAUGCAUGAUCCAAGAGAACCUCAUCUUCAAGCUGCUUACAGGGUGCUGCGUUACUUGAAAGACAACCUCGAGAAAGGAAUUUUAUUAAAGAAGAACAAUACUCUUGCUCUAAAAGCAUACAUCGAUGCUGACAAUGCAGGUUCCCCAGUGGAUCGAAGAUCAACUGCAGGGUAUUGUACUUUUCUUGGAGGUAAUCUGGUAACAUGGAGAAGUAAAAAGCAGAAUAUGAUAGCAAGGUCGUCUGCAGAAUCAGAGUUUAGGGGCAUUGCUCAAGGGUUAUGCGAACUACUUUGGCUGAAGAUUAUUCUAGAUGAAUUGAGAAUCAAGUGGGAUGAUCCUAUAAAGCUCUAUUGUGACAACAAGUCAACUAUCAAUAUUGCUCAUGACCCUAUACAACACGAUAGGACAAAUCAUAUUGAGAUUGAUAGACAUUUCAUCAAAGAAAAAUUUGAGGAAGGAGUAGUGUGUAUGUCCUAUGUUCCAUCAGAACAUUAAUUAGCCGAUAUUCUAACAAAAGGACUGAAUAAUUCAAUGUUUCGCGAUCUUAUAUUCAAGUUGGGAAUGGAAGACAUCUAUUCCUCAGCUUGAGGGAGAGUGUUGAACUAUAAAUAGAAUAGGAGAAUUAUUUUCCUAUUAUGUUAGUUUCCUAUUUCUGUAAAUAGAUAGUUUUAUUAUUUUCCUAUUUCUGUAAAUAGAUAGUGUUAUGAUUUAGGAAUAAGUUAGUUUCCUAUUAUGUCUCUUGUUUCCUAUUUCUUCUCUUAUAAUCUCCUAUAUAAACUGUGUAUAGUCAAUCUAAUAGACAAAACUUAUUAUUUUUCAUCCCAUAUUUCGUGUCACGUUCUUUUCUACUACUGUAUAUAUUUUAAAGGUUGUAUACAUUUAGUAUAUGAAUGAGAAAUACAAUUUUUCUCCACAUAUAUAGCGUUAGUAACUUUUUCCCUUAUUUGAUGUGGGAUAUCACACCCAUUGUUUGAUUCUCUACCUGUGUGCUAUAGUUGAGUGGAUGGCGCUCUUUUUGUGUUUAUGUAGGCAAGAGGUUUCACAAUCAGUUCAUCCUUCUUAUUAUUUAUAAUGAUGGGAUUAUCAUUUUGAUCUAGCAUGUUAUUACUUCCCUAAAGCUAAUAAGCCUCUCUUCCCCACUUAAAAGAAUCUUUUCAGAGAACAAGUAUCAAGGAAAAAUUAUGUUAUGAGGUGAACUUGGUUGUCUGCACUCAGAAUAAUGGAGGGAUAGAAGGCCUUGCUACACUGCUUCCUUGUUGUUUUGGUUUUAGCCUUUGAUUGGUAGAGUGAGUGGGGACUUUGCCUCAAAUUGAUUAAAGUGUGGAUUCUGUGUUUCUUAAUUGAUAAGACUGUGGAUUCUGCAUUUCCUCCUUUUGGAAAAACACAACUAGGUCAAUGUAGGCAAGUAAAUAUCCUGGUCAAAAUGAGUUUUCUUAGAAUUAAAGUUAGGUUGUCUUUCACCAACAAGGAUCAUACCACUAAAAUCAAUUCCUGGUUAUAGAUUUGUAUUGCGUCCUAUUUGUAAUGGAAAAGAUGAUGUGUUUGAUAUGACUUUGUUCUAGUUGCAGUUGUCUCUUCCUGCUGCUGUAAUACAUUAUCCUACCUUUGUCCUCUUUGCUGCAUUAGGUAAUGCUGCUAUGUUUAGUCUUAGGAUUGGUUUGUAUCAUGUACUACAAGAUGAUUUCUUACCUUUGUUUCAUUGGUGCAUUAGUUAAUGUUUAUGUAUUCAACUAUAGAAGGGGAAUAUAUGGCCUGAGAUUUAAUUUAAGUGGCACCUCUACUAGGCAAUGACUGAGUGGUGUCUCAGCAAGUUCUAUGUUGCUCCUAUGGUACCUUCAUCUCUUUCAUCAAGUUCUGUGCUUUUGAUUUAAUAUCUGUUUUGAUGCUAGUAGCUCUUUUAGUAAGUCAAGUGAGUGCUCCUUUGUGAUAGCGGGUGUUGGUGGGUCAUGUCUAUGUCAUGUUCAAGCCUAGGUAUUCCACUAUAUUGGUCAACCCAAACCCGACGCGAAUAAUAGCCGUGUCCAAAACUUAAAACCCAAAUACUACCUAACUAUUAAACAUGUAAUACGUCAUGCAACCUAUUUAAAAGAAAAUUUAAAAUAAGUCAAAAUAUGGGUUAAACAAUUUAUAGUUAUAAUUAGGUUAAUCAACUAGAUUAUUAUAUGGGUCAAUUCAGGUCAAAUUUGUGUUAUGUAGGUUGACCUAAAAAUUACCUAUUUAUUAAAUGGGUUAUGCAAGUCAACAUGAAUUUGAUUCAAGCCCAAUUAUACUCAACCCAAACCCACGAAAAGCGUGUUAGGUUUUGAGUUGUGUUGACGAAUUGUCUCAAACUUUGCCAUCCCUACUCUAUGAUUGACCAUUUUUUGUUGAGAAUACACAUUAUGACAUACUCUAGUAAGCUUAUAUUAGAGCAAUGAUCCUCACUUGUCCACUUUGAUGGUGGGUUUAUGGGCUUUAUCUCCUACUUUCUUGGUGGAGAACUUGAACCUACCAAAAACACCCACCAAAAAGAAAAUUGAAAUUUCCUAAAUUAGUGUCUCUACUCCUGGCCCCUGAAGUUAUUUCCAACAUCACUGUAAAUUAGAGAAGCAUGAACGUACAAUUUAAAAAAAAAAAAAUGAAAAAUAUAUGAGGUUCAUACCUUUAUCCCAGUGGGAUCCCAAGAAGUAAACUUGGGAUCUCUUGUGCCUAAAGCAGGAUCUGUGCCACCAGUGAAGAUUUGCAAUUCUUUGUGCUUAUCAUGUCUGUUUUUGGACCUGUGUUUGGUUUAAUAUAUUGGUCAUUGCAAUUCACUUCAGCUGCUGUAUGUUAGUCCAGGAAGGAUGAUCUAUUUUGGUGCUGUAUAGUGGGUAAAUUUACUCUUACAUGAAUGUUCCUUUGCACUUAUUGCAGUUACCUUUGGCUUUAGUUGAUCGAGUAAUGAUUUUUUUGUGUAUUUAUGUUUGGUCUGACAUGAGGGCAUGUCUUGAUGAUCAAUUCUGCUUCCUUUUCUUUCUCAUUUCAUGGAUGCAGAUCCCUGUCCUAAUUAUUUUAACGAACUAUUCUGUUGCAGGUUUUGGGUUGAUUUGGUACCCAACUAUGUUUAUAUAAAAUAGUUGUAAUAUUCCGUUUGUGGUCAAAAUGUUCAGCUUCAAUUAGAAGUCAUGGCAGUUGACUUAGUUUACAAUGUGUUGACUUAGCAUCCUAUUGAUCCAUAGGCUGUAGACUCUACUUUUUAGGGAUGCAUUAACUAAUCUUGGGUCUGAGUUGAAACCAUGUGCUCUUUGAUGUACUUUGACUGACUGAUGCACAUAUCUUCACGCACCCACCUUGAUUAAUAUGCAGCUUCUCAAUCUAUUGACGAAGAAUCUUGUCAGGAAAGUAAAAAAUAUUGCAUUAGUGAAUAUGUUCUGCUGAUCUUCUAAAUUCAGGAUCAGAUCAUUCUGUUUGAAUAUUAAGAUGAACUAAAAUAGAACAUCAAAAAUUAUAUAGAAAUGAAUUCAGUGAUUACUGUGGGGCAUUCCAAGAAUCGAACUAGGGACCUCUUGCACCCAAAGCAAGAAUCAUACUACUAGACCAAAUGCCCAAUUGUUAGUAAUAUUAUGUUUUAUUUUUGGUCAAGUGUUUGGUUGGAUUUACCAUUUUUUGCAGUAGAAAAUUUUUGCUGCUUGUUGACUGAAUGUACCUUUAGUCAUUAAUAUUUCAGUAUAGUUGGCUGUAUUCUUGCUUAUAUAUCAUGUUAUACUUAUGAUGAAGCUAAUGCAUGUAGCUUGAUUUUAGUAUUUGUAGCAAUCAACUUUAUGUGCACUAUGUUGACUUAACAUGCUGUUGAUCCAUAGACUCUAGUGUUUAGUGCUCCAUCAACUAGACUUGGGUCUGAAUUGAACCGUAUGCUCCUAUGGUUGCUCACAUUCAUGCACACACACAUAUGUUUCAUGAUACUUCUAUGUAAUUUGUUCACGUAUUUUGAUUUCUUUUGGUGGGUGUUUGCUAAAAUAAUAUGUUUGAUUUGGGUGAGAGCAUUAUUCUUCAUUAUGCCACCAUUAUAGCUUGCUGAUAGCUCUUUUUUUUCUGUUCUAGUGGUUUUUAUUUGAGUUGAGGCCAUUGCUUAAUUAGACAACCUUUGUAAAUUGUCCGUGAGAUCAAUUUGUAGGUGGGAAUCUCAUCAUGGAAAAAAAAAAAAGAUAGUAGAUUUUGAUGAUUUACAAGGUCUUCUGCUGCACUGAGUUGGCCUGGGUUAUAAUACUGAGUCAAGUUUGUGUCAAAAUAAAUAAAUAAUUUAUAAUAAAACCGUAAGUUUGUUUAAUCCCUGAUCUGGGCGGGGGCAUUCCGUGAAUCAAAAUUGGGACAUCAUGCACUCAAGCCGAGAAUCCUACCACUAGAUCAAUUGCCUUAGGUGUGUUUCUGUGGUUAGUUGUGUGUGCCAUUAACUUGGUUAGGUUAGCUUUUUUUGGUUGCAACUGAAAAUGUUUUUUCUUUUAUUCUCCUCAAUUGGGAAACUUUUGAAUUGCAAGAAGAGGUGGUCUUUGGCUAGGCAGGUACUUAGAGGGUCCAAGAAAUAUGAGAGUCUUAAUCAAAUUUGAUGCCCAGAUGCUCUUGUGGAUCUUUACAGUAAUCUUAGAAGAAACAAAAUUUCUGGGUCUUGAUCUUUAGAUCUCCCUGAGCAUUCUCUAUACCCUGCAAGUGACUGCAGAUGACUCAUCUGAGGUAUUGGUCUUGAGAUGGAUGUGGUUAUAUAUUUUUCCAAUAACCACUAGAUUGCGAAAAGAAAAAGGUUAUUUGUGGUAUUAAAAACUUCCUAAUAAGAAUUCAUGCAAUUUUUCAUGUUUCUUCACUUGUUGAUCCCUAGAAGUCAUGACUGCAGCCUUAAACAUGAGACUAGUAGUAAUAUAAAAUUCAACUCAGUGAAAAAAUAAGUGAUAAGUACACAUUACAAAAAAUUAAGUAUCCUUAAUCACUAUGCUCUGCCUUGGGGUGCCAAAAAGUAGCAUAUCAUGUUGAGUAGCUCAAAAAUUUGUCAGAGCUCAACUAAGGAGCUGAUGCUAACUGUCCAAAAGUUCGAUGGGGGUAAUCCUUUUUUCCAACAUCUCAUUCCUAUAAUUUGUCAUUGGCAAACUAAAUUUGUAUUUGGUGGGUACUGUAUAUUUCUCUCUGCACACUCUCUAGUUCAUAAAAAGUAUUUGGCUCAAAUGUUCAAAACAGAAUGGAAUGUUAUUUAUGUUUGGUGUGUGCUGUAUAACCCUUGGUGAACACUUUCUGGUUCCUACAUGCUUCUCUGCUGCCUUUUCCUGAUCAAACCAUUCUGCUCAAAUAUUUAAAACGGGAUGAAAUAUUGAAAUGAAUUCCUGAUCAAAAGUGGGUCAUUCCGAGAAUCGAACUCGGGACCUCUCGCACCCAAAGCGAGAAUCAUACCACUAGACCAAAUGCCCAAAUGUUGAAUUUUAUCAUAUUCAACUUGUGAUCAAUGUGUUUGAUUGGAUUCAAGGGAUUAGUCAUUUUUUAUCUCCAGUCACUCCUUUUAGUUUUUAAGUGGACCUUCAUUUAAGGAGCAGACUGUUCCUGUUGCCUCACCUGUGUUGAGGUAUAAGUGUGCCUAGCAGGGGUUGAAUUUGAAAGCGCUACUUCUUGUAUUCUUAAUUUCAGAAGCCAUUAGUUGCUUGUAUAGGGUUUUGUUUUCAAGCUAACUGUUUGGUUUGGGUUUGUUUUCAAGCUAAUUGCUUGGAUAGGUGGGUUUUGUUUUCAAUCUAAUUGCUUAGAUAGGGUUUUGUUCUCAAGCUACAAACUAUUGCAUUGAUCCUUUUGUGAAUCUCUUUGGAGGAACCAAAAUUGUCUGAUCUUGAACCUGAGGCUGCUAUAGUUAUUGGAUUCUUCUCCUCAGAAAUUGAUUUUGUUUCUGUAGCCUCUGCAAGCAUGGAAAUCUUUUGUACGACAAUAGUGUUCAAUUUAUUUCUUCUCUUUAUUAAAUGGAACUGUCUUGCUAUAAAGUUCCACUGCAGGCUUCAGAUGACUAUCAGAGGCAAUCAAGUCAGUCUGCAGUGUCAAUCUUUUUUGUGUUAAGCUGGAGGAAAGCAGUGUAAGACUUGAAAGCGAAUCUUUGUCUGGUGGCAUUCCAAAACUAAUUGGAAUUCUUGCUGAUGCUAUUCCCAAAUAAAUCAGGCAUUUUCUUUUUUUGAUAUGUAAAAGACAAAAGUAUUUUAUAAAUAAAGAGAAAAGGCACCCAAAGGACAGCCCAAAGCAUACCGGGAGUAUACAAGGGGUGCCUCAAGGUGAAAGCCAAGAAGAAGAGGGGUUACAGAAACUUACCCACCCUCAUUUAGAACCCAACUAAUCAAAAAAGUCGAUCAAUGAUAAAGGACCUACAUCUAUGACAACUUAUUCCAAGACCAAUAAUUACAAACAAAAGAAUUUUUCAAUCUUUGAACCAAAAACUUCCCAUUUUCAAAAGCAAUCUUGUUUCUUUCCUUCCAAAUAGUCCAAAAGAGGCAUAAAGGGGUUGUCUUCCACAAAUUUUGACGCUUCUUGCCCACAAAGGAACCAUUUCAACCAAUAAGAGUCUCUUUAACUAACAAAGGAAGAACUCACGACACCCCAAAGAGAGCAAAAAUUAACUCCCACAAAGCCUUAGCCUUGGAGCAAUGAAUUAGGAUGUGAUCUAUAGACUCUUAUUUAACAAGGCAAAGGAAACAUCUAUUAGCUAGAGUCUACCCCCUCCUUUUUAAUUGAUCCAAAGUUAAGACCUUACCCCAUGAUGCUUCCCAAGUAAAAAAGCCCACUUUGGAGGGCACACAUGUCAAAACACUCAGAAAAACCCUAGAAACUGAGAACUCUCCACCUUUAUUAUCCUCUGCAUCCAUCUAUAUACAGACGUAUAUCCUAUACAUGGAGUCUAACUGAUUCCUAAAUUGUAUAUGGUAACAUUAACAUAUACAUGGUAAGCCAAUUCUGUCAAUCUUUUCGUAUAUGUACAACCAAUCUGAUUCCUAAAUUGUAUAAGGUAACAUUAACAUCCCUUCUCAAAUUGAUGCUGUUAAGUCAACAAGCAACAAUUUGCCAACAAGAAAUUGAUGCCGCUGUCGAGUCAAAGCUUUGGUGAAGAUAUCCGUCACUUGGAGAUCAGAAGAGAUGUGAGGAAGAGAUAUCACCCGACUUUCCAAGGUGUCUCAAAUAGAAUGACAAUCAACCUCAAUGUGCUUGGUACGUUCAUGAAAAAGGGGAUUGGUGGCAAUCUGAAUAGCACUAGUGUUAUCAGCAUGAAAAGGUGUAGAAGUUGUCUGAGGAAACCCAAGUUCCUCAAGAAGACCGCGCAGACAUACAAUUUCAGAACAAGUAGUAGACAUGGCACGAUACUCGGCCUCAGUAGAGGAUUUAGAAACACGAUCUUGUUUCUUACAUUUCCAAGAAAUUAAGGCAUCACCUAAAAACAUACACCAACCUGUAGUAGAUCGACGUGUAUUUGGACAUCCAGCCCAAUCAACAUCACUAUAGGCAACAAGUUGAAGAGAGGAGCCAGUAGGAAAGAACAACUCACGAGUAGGUGAACCUCGAAGAUAGCGGAUGAUGCGUCGAAUUGCAGCAAGAUGGAGAUGCCGAGGAGAAGGCAUAAACUGACUGACCUGAUGAACAACAUAGGAGAUAUCAAGUCGAGUAGUGGUCAAGUAGAUAAGACUCCUAACCAGGCGCCGAUAGAGAGUAGGAUCAUCCAAAAGGUCCCCUUCAUCUUUCCUAUAUUUGACAUUUACCUCCAUAAGAGUAUCGAUAGAAGAAGCGUCCUCCAAACCAGCCAAAGUGAUAAGAUCUUGAAUAUACUUAUGCUGGUUCACAUCCAUCUGAUGCAGUUGCCAUGACUGUGAAGCGGCAAUAGCUAAGAUGGUUCAAACCGUGGUCAUUUUGGCAACAGGAGCAAAUGUCUCCUCAUAAUCAACCCCAUAUUCCUGCUUGUUACCCAGAGCUACGAGGUGAACUUUGUACCGGUCCAAAGAGCCAUCAGAACGAAGUUUUACAAAAAAAACUCAUUUACUCCUAAUAGGUUUGACUGUAGGAGGACAAGGAACAAUAUCCCAAGUACGAUUCUCCUCAAGUGCUUGAAGUUCUGCUUGCAUUGCAUUUUGCCAACACUCGUGUUCAGAACUUCUUGGGACAAUCCCGAGCAAUAUGACCAAAAUCUUUACAACUAAAGCACUAGACAACACGCAUGCCUUGACCCUUAUUUCACCCUUGUGCUGCAUAAGCCACAGAAACAGGUGCACUAACAUUAGCCCGAUGUUCCAUGGUAGCUUGAGUUACGAUACACUGCUCCUCACGCAGAAUUUCACUCAAGCAGGCAUCCAGAGAUGGUACAGGAUGACGAUUCAUCAGAUUAGACUGUGCAAUUUCAAAGUCGGGUCGUAGCUUCAUCAAGAAUUGAUCUCGCUUGCUAGUUGCAUGCACUACUUGGACAACAGAGAGAGCUGCAGUAGGAACAUUAGCAUAAACAAUGUUGGAAUAAUCAGUCCAAAGAGUUUGAAAACCAGAAAAAUAUUCCUCAAUUGAGAGACUUCCUUGUGUGAAAUUAGCCAUCUCAUACUCCAAUUGAAAACGCCUAGCAGAGUUGUCUUGAUUGUAAACCGUGUGGAGAUAAUUCCACAUAGCAGCAGUAGUUUUAUAAAGCCUUAGAUUGAGAAUAAGGUGAGGUUCGAUCCAGGUCAUAACUCGAGCAUACUUAAUUUCCCACUUAGACAAAGCCUCGGCAUCACGAGGUGCAGGAUUACUCUCAUCAAUAUGACCCCAUAAUUCUUUUCCUUGUCAAAUAAUUUAAAUUGAAACUCCCAAGCACAAUAAUUUUUGCUAGUAAAUUUAAUAGGAAAUUAUUCUAACUUAUCUAAUGACAUGAUGCAACCGAGAGACAAAGGAAAUAGCCCACCAAAAAAUUGAAACAGAAACACUCUUAGCUCUCUGUUGUCUGUCUGUUUCUCUCUCUGACUUUCUCUCUAAAAUUAGCUUGCAGGUUUUGGUGUGGGUUUAUGAUGAGAGAGAAAUUAGAGUUUCAGAGGUCAUCUGUGAAUUUCUAUGAUGGUUGUUGCAGUAUCAACUACACCAAAUCCGAAGACCUCGUCACGAUGAACCCGAUCAACACUAUUUUCGAUGCCAAACAUUUGAUUGGUAGAAGGUUCUCCGAUGCCUUGAUUAAGAGUGAAGAACACUAUUGUUACAGUGCCUGCCUACUUCAAUGACUCUCAGCGUCAAGCCACCAAGGAUGCGGGAGUUAUUACCGGCCUCAACCUGAUGCAUAUCAUCAAUGAGCCAACAACUGCCGAGAUACACCCCUCAAACGCAGCUACUAAAGGGAUUGAAACCCAGAAAAAAAACACCCACAACAAUCACAAAAAAAAAAAACCACAAAUGCCCCACAGGAAGUGUCUAAAUCUCCAAGAAACACGAACUCCACUCAGAAGGCGCCGAAACCUUGCUCUGAUACCAUGUCAAAACACUUAGAAAAACCCCAGAAACUAAGAACUCUCCACCUUUAUUAUCCUUUGCAUCCAUCUAUAUACAGACGUAUAUCCUAUACACGGAGUCUAACUGAUUCCUAAAUUGUAUAUGGUAACAUUAACAUAUACAUGGUAAGCCAAUUCUGUCAAUCUUUUUGUAUAUGUAUAGUUAAUUUGAUUCCUAAAUUGUAUAUAGUAACAUUAACAAUGCAAGGGUUCCAAAUGAUGUUCCACGGAAAAGGAGUUGCAUUCCUUGUCUCCAAAGCACCAUAAAGAGACUUAAUAGAAAACUCCACACUUUUAGUCUCUUUCCAUAGCAUCCUAUCCUCCAAAUCCACAAACACCCUCUUUUCUUGAAUUAUCAAAAGGAAUCGCUCCAUCAAAUCCACCUCCCAAUCAUUGAGUAGGAUUCCAUCCCCCUACUUCACUCGAUAAAUCCCAUACCUCCGCCACCCAAACCUCUUUAGAGUCCACCAAAGUAUAUACGAAGAUGGGAAAGAAUCGCACAAAGCAACAUCACCACACCAAUUAUCCUUCUAGAAUCUCACUUUUCUCCCAUUACCCACUGAGAACCCAAUUUUAUUACUUAAUAAAAAUCCCUCCCUCGAAAUUUCCUUCCACAAACCCACACCAUACCCCUCCUUAAUUGCUCGAGUACUCCACCCCCCUUUUUCUACCCCAAACUUCCUACCAAUAAUGAUAUAGGACAACCCUAGGAUGGUUGCCUACACUCAAGGGUAGGUGGGCUAGGGUUUUAUUUUUAGGGUGUAAGGAGAGGAACAAGGAAUAAAUUUUAUGGUAGAGAAAAUUAUAAGAUAAGAAAUAGAGAGAGAAAAAACAAUGAAGAAAAGAUGGAAAACCUUAGAGCCUCAAUAAGGCCUUCUAAGAGUCUCACCUAGAAGAAAAUCAAUGAAGUCUCACCAUUGAGGGUUGCAACCUUGUACUGAAAGAAAGUAUAAUAUUAUUCAUCAAAUUCAACCCUUUAAUUUACUUUGAUUAGCCUAUUUAUAGGCUUCUCUAAGAAAUCCAAAGUCUAUUAGGAUUCUAAUAACCUGUUAUGAUUCUAAUUCUAAUUAUAACAUCCAAAGUCUACUAGGACUCUUCAAAUUCUAAUUAUAUUAUAACUCAACUAGCUAAUCCUAAUUAGACUCUAACAAAUAUUAAUCCUAAUUUAAUUCCAAGUAAUAUUAAUACUAUUUUAAUUAUAACUAAUACUAAUUCCCUUUCUUGAUAUAUAUCUUGAAGAUUCAUCCUCAUCAAUUCCCCCUGACUUGAAAAAAAACUCGACCUCGAGUUUUAGUGAUUUUCCACGAUCAAUUGAUAUUCCGAGCAAUGUCUUCCACCCUUUAUUUCUUCGUCGUCUCUUUCCCAUGGUAAGACAGGAUCUCAAGAUCUCUUGAACUUGUUCAAUUUCAUGCAAGACAAAUAUUGUGCUUCGAAAAACUUUUUGAUGUUGUAUGGGGAAAAUUGUUGGGGGGAGUUCAUACGCAACAAUAGCAAAACGUGCUUUGUUGGGUAAUCCAAACGCGAUCGCAGUGAAGGUCAAAAGAGAGGAAUCGAUGGGAUUGUUGAAGAAGUUGGAACACUGCGUUGUGGCGAGCAGGAGGGGUAACGUAGGGGAAGAGGAUGAUCUUGAGAAGCUGGGACAGCAUUGGGCAAAAUCGUGGGAGCUUAAAGGUAGCUUAGGGUUGGCUAAAAUGGAAAAGGGAAGGGUUCUACUGGACUUUGAAGACUUGGAAGAGGCGCGUCGUGUUGUUUCUUCUGGGAAUCGCACGAUGGAAGGAGUCCAGGUAGGGCUGGAUUUUUGGAGUCCGAGGAGUGGGUGCUGGACAGAGGAGGAGAAGGCAAAGGAGAUUUGGGUGAGAUUAUUUGGACUUCCAGUCUCGUUUUGGAGCCCAGAGAUUUUGAAGAAGGUGGGGGACGAAUGCGGUGGCUUUAUAACAGCCGACGAACAAAUGAAGUCGUUGGGCGAGCUACAGUGGGCCAGAAUCUUAGUGAGGGGAAGAGGUGAUGCUCGUCCGAGUGUUCUGGAAGUCGAAGUGGAAGAGGAGGUCUAUGAGAUAGCAUUAUGGUGGGAAUGUCGUCCGGUGAUAAGGAGGUCUUCCAGACAAGCAGACGGUCGUUGUAGAAGCGAGGUUGGGGGUGAGGAGUCCUCACGCGCGGAGAAGCGAGUGACAAAGGGGUGGGUGAGCGUGAGGCUCGAGGACCUGCAUCCGUCAGGUGAUGGGACGGGUGGGUAGAGGGCUGUUGGGGGUCGGGUUGUAUCCAAUGAAGGCCGAGGCCCAAUAUUCCCGUCUUGGACUCAAUUUGGUGCAGUCCACCCUUUAAGCCCAAAUGCCAGCCCAAAGGUGUUAAAAGGGGACGGUGGGCCUGGGCUGAAGAGUGGAGUAAUGGGAUUAAAGAUGAAAGGGGUGGCUUUAAGUUCAGAUGCAGGCCCGUCGUGUAGGCCCGAUGAGGUGGGCUGUUCCACUAUAGGCCCAGUCUCGACAUCAAACAAAGGCCUAAGUUCAAAGGGAUAUGGUCCACAGUCCGUUAGAAGUGUAAAUACAAGGGAGGGCCCAUCUUCUUCAUCAGCAGGCCAAGACCAUAAUAUCUCUCAGAAGAAGGACUUAAUGUUGAUGGGGCCUGAUCCAGGUAAGACUCAUGCGCCAGAGCCUUUUGUUGCGUNNNNNNNNNNNNNNNNNNNNNNNNNNNNNNNNNNNNNNNNNNNNNNNNNNNNNNNNNNNNNNNNNNNNNNNNNNNNNNNNNNNNNNNNNNNNNNNNNNNNUAUCAGAGACGGAUAAGGCACUUGAAGAGGAAUCAAUGAGGUAUGGAAAUGGGUUGUGGUCUUGGGGAAAAAGGGUUCUGGGGAUUUCUCAUCUCAACUCUUUUAAUUUUGAUCGGACUCCGGGAGUGGAGUCUUUCGGUCAUUCUGGGGAUUGGAAUGAGGGAGUUCGGGUUGACAAUACAAUGUGGCUAACGGUAUAUGAGGGCUGUGUUGAGAGGAGCAAUGGAUGCAGGGAGGUGGGAGCAAAGGAAAGUAGCAGUGAUACGGGAAGGGGGACUCUUGAGGUCGGUGCCAUAUAUGAUACCCAAACAGAGAGAGGAAUGCAGGAGUAUAAAUGGGAGGAGAGUGAUCUGGAAAAAUUUAGUCAAUUCCUGGGAUUCCCCACGGAGGGAUUGGAGAAGGAAAUACUGAAGUUUCUGUCUCAAAUCAGAAAGAGAAGGGAGAAAAUCCAUAGUAAAGAGCUAUUGGAAAAAUCUAAGUUUGAAAGGGAAUUAAAAAGACUGGAAUGCUCCAUUAAUUAUGAGGGGGGGAUUAAACAGAAAGGCUUGGUACAGGGCAAAGGGCGCCAGAUUGUGAUUGUCCAAUGAAGAUGAAAAUUCUGAGUUGGAAUGUGAGGGGAGCAAAUGAAAGCUCUAAAAGAAAAGUAAUUAAGACGUUUUUAAGGAAUCAGAGGGUGGACGUAAUCUGUAUUCAGGAGACUAAAAUUCAAGCGAUGUCGGAUAACAUUGCGAGAAGCAUAGGCUCCGGCAGAUUCCUAGAGUGGAAGGCUAUGAAUGCGGAAGGAGCUUCAGGAGGAAUUCUGAUGUGCUGGGAUAAAAGGUCCCUGGAGGUUCUAGAUUGGGAAGAGGGCCAGUUUACCUUAUCUUGUAGAUUCCGGAAUAUAGAAAAUGGGGCAAUUUGGAUUUUUACGGGAGUGUACGGCCUGUUCUCCAAGAUGGAAAGGGAGGCUUUAUGGGAUGAGUUGGGGGCGAUUAGAGGGCUGUGGGAAGACCCUUGGUGUAUAGGGGGGGACUUUAACAUAACCUUGUUUCCGAGGGAAAGGAGCAGCCAGAGGAGAAUGAAUUCAACAAUGAGGAAAUUUGCGGAAAUAGAGGAUGAUCUGGGGCUAAUGGAUCUCCCACUUCAAGGGGGAGAAUUUACUUGGAAUGGGGGACAAAACAACUAGGUCUGGGCAAGAUUGGACAGGUUCCUUGUUUCCCCUAGUUAGACUGACCAAUACAAUGGGAUUAGUCAAUGUAGGCUGCCCCGUCCGGUUUCCGAUCAUUUCCCAAUUAUGCUAGUGGGGGGGGGGGGGGAUAAGACGAGGCCCAACUCCAUUCAGAUUUGAAAAUAUGUGGCUUAAGGUUGAGGGCUUCAAAGAGUUAGUGUGCAGCUGGUGGCAAGGAAUUGAGGUUAGGGGCAGUGGUAGUUACAAGUUGGCUACUAAGAUGAAGGAAGUCAAACAGAAAUUGAAAGUUUGGAAUAGAGAAGUCUUUGGGAAGCUGGAGACCAAUAAAUCCUUAGCCUUGCAGCAGGUGGAGUUUUGGGAUAGGGAGGAAAGUGGGAGAAUUCUGAUUGUGGAGGAAACAGAGCUUAAGAAAGAAGCAAAGGAUAAUUAUAGGAAAUGGGUGAUUAUGGAAGAGACUCAUUGGAGACAGCUCUCUAGGGAAAUAUGGCUGAAGGAAGGGGAUAGAAACACGGGCUUUUUUCAUCGUAUGGCAAGCGCUCACCGUAGAAAUAAUCAGUUGGAGAGAAUAAAGAUCAAUGGGGAGUGGCUGUUAGAGGAGCAGGAAAUCAGGGAAGGAAUUGCUAGUACGUUCCAAAGCUUGCUUUCAGAAGAUAUGGGGUGGAAGGCGGACAUAGGGGGCCUUCGGUUAGACCAGAUCAGCCAACAAGAGGCUGAGACCUUGGAGAGGCCCUUUACAGAGGAGGAAAUCUACGUGGCACUGAUGGAGAUGAAUGGGGAUAAAGCCCCUGGUCCGGACGGCUUUACAAUGGCAUUUUGGCAAAGUUGCUAGGAGUUCAUUAAAGAGGAGAUUUUGGAAAUGUUCAAAGACUUCUAUGACCACAGUUCUUUCCUCAAGAGUCUCAACAAUACCUUCUUGGUGCUGAUUCCCAAGAAAAGUGGGGCUGAGGACCUUAGAGACUUCAGACCGAUUAGUCUCUUAGGGGGGCUUUACAAGUUAUUGGCUAAAGUGCUAGCUAACAGAUUGAAGAAAGUAGUUGGUAAGGUGGUAUCCACUUCUCAGAAUGCCUUUGUGAAGGGAAGACAAAUCCUUGAUGCGUCUUUAAUUGCAAAUGAAGUGAUAGACACGUGGCAGAAACAAAAGGAAAAGGGCAUUAUAUGCAAGUUGGAUAUAGAGAAAGCCUAUGACAGCAUCAAUUGGAAGUUCUUGGUGAAGGUGUUACAAAAGAUGGGAUUCGGGUCCAAAUGGGUGGGGUGGAUGUGGAGUUGCCUAUCGUCAGCUAAAUUUUCAGUGUUGGUUAAUGGAGUGCCUGCAGGUUUCUUCCCUAGCACUAAAGGCCUUAGACAAGGGGAUCCGUUGUCUCCUUACCUCUUCAUCAUGGGGAUGGAAGUGCUUGAUGUGCUUAUCAGGAGAGCUGUGGAGGGGGGGUUCUUAUCAGGAUGCAACAUAAGGGGUGGAAGUGGUCCCUCUUUGAACAUCUCUCACUUGUUUUUUGCUGAUGACACAAUUAUCUUCUGUGAGGCCAGAAAGGAUCAUCUAACUUACUUGGGGUGGAUUUUAUUCUGGUUUGAAGCGGCUUCAGGCUUAAGGAUUAACUUAGCCAAGAGUGAAGUCAUUCCAGUUGGUGAGGUGGUGGAGGUGGAAGAGUUGGCUGUUGAGCUUGGCUGUAGGGUGGGGACUUUACCUUCUCAGUAUUUGGGUCUUCCUUUAGGGGCCCCAAAUAGAGCGCCUUAUAUAUGGGAUGGGGUGGAGGAAAGAGUGAGGAGAAGACUAGCUCUUUGGAAACGGUAAUACAUUUCUAAAGGAGGAAGAGUCACCUUAAUAAAAAGUACAUUGACUAGCAUGCCAAUCUACCAAAUGUCCAUUUUCAGAAUGCCAAAGGUUGUUGUUAGAAGGAUUGAGAAAGUGCAAAGGGAUUUUCUAUGGGGAGGGGGAAACAUGGAGAGAAAAGUGCAUUUGGUUAAAUGGGAGGUGGUUUGUACAGACAAAGAGAAAGGUGGGCUAGGCCUUAGAAAGCUAGCUUUGUUGAACAAAGCUUUACUUGGCAAGUGGAUAUGGAGGUAUGCAUGUGAAAAAAAUAUUUUGUGGAGACAAGUGAUUAAGGUGAAGUAUGGGCAGGAGGGUCUUGAUUGGAGGCCCAAAAAGGGAAUUGGGGCGGUUGGUGUAGGGGUUUGGAAGGAGAUCUGGAAAGAAUCAGAUUGGUGUUGGGAUAACAUAACAUUCCGUGUAGGAAAGGGCAACUUGAUUUGUUUUUGGACAGAUGUGUGGUGCUCAGAAUCUUCAUUGGCUCAAUGUUUCCCUCAUCUCUUUGGUAUGGCUGUGCAUCAGAGUUUGACGGUUAAGGAAAUGUGGGAUCAAAAUUCGGGUCAAGGAAACUGGAACCUACACUUCUUGAGGGACUUCAAUGAUUGGGAGAUUGAGCUGGUUGGGGAGUUCCUCCACAUUUUGAGGGGUUUUAAACCUUCUUUGGAGGAAGAUUCAGUUAUAUGGAGAAAAGGAAGAAGUGGUCAGUUUAGGGUUAAGGAAGCUUACAGUUUGUUGACGAAUUCUGAGGUUAUGGGAUUUCCCCAUAAAAGCAUUUGGGUGGCAAGAGUGCCAACUAAAGUUGCUUUUUUUGCGUGGGAGGCGGCAUGGGGGAAGGUGCUAACUUUGGAUAGGCUUCAAAGAAGAGGAUUUCAACUUCCAAAUCGGUGUUUCUUGUGUGAAUGUGAAGAAGAGAGUGUAAAUCAUAUCCUUAUAUAUUGUACAGUGGUUAGAGCUUUAUGGGAUAUUGUCUUUGGUUUAGUUGAUGUAAAAUGGGUUUUUCCGGGAACUGUAAAGGAGGUCUUAGCUAGUUGGAGGGGUUCGUUUGUGGGAAAGAAAAGGAAAAAGAUAUGGGAUGCCAUUCCGUUGUGCAUUUUUUGGACGGUAUGGAAGGAGAGGAAUAGAUUAGCUUUUAGGGGGGGGGGGGGUUUUGAAUAUCCAAAAGUUAAAGAAUUCUUUUGUUUNNNNNNNNNNNNNNNNNNNNNNNNNNNNNNNNNNNNNNNNNNNNNNNNNNNNNNNNNNNNNNNNNNNNNNNNNNNNNNNNNNNNNNNNNNNNNNNNNNNNCUUUGUUGAACAAAGCUUUACUUGGCAAAUGGAUAUGGAGGUAUGCAUGUGAAAAAAAUAUUUUGUGGAGACAAGUGAUUAAGGUGAAGUAUGGGCAGGAGGGUCUUGAUUGGAGGCCCAAAAAGGGAAAUGGGGCGGUUGGUGUAGGGGCUUGGAAGGAGAUUUGGAAAGAAUCAGAUUGGUGUUGGGAUAACAUGACAUUCCGCGUAGGAAAGGGCAACAUGAUAUGCUUUUGGACAGAUGUGUGGUGCUCAAACUCUUCAUUGGCUCAAUGUUUCCCUCAUCUCUUUGGUAUGGCUGCGCAUCAGAGUUUGACGGUUGAGGAAAUGUGGGAUCAAAAUUCGGGUCAAGGAAACUGGAACCUACACUUUUUGAGGGACUUCAAUGAUUGGGAGAUUGAGUUGGUUGGGGAGUUCCUCCACAUUUUGAGGGGUUUUAAACCUUCUUUGGAGGAAGAUUCAGUUAUUUGGAGAAAAGGAAGAAGUGGUCAGUUUAGGGUUAAGGAAGCUUACAGUUUGUUGACGAAUUCUGAUGUUAUGGGAUUUCCUCAUAAAAGCAUUUGGGUGGCAAGAGUGCCAACUAAAGUUGCUUUUUUUGCGUGGGAGGCGUCAUGGGGGAAGGUGUUAACUUUGGAUAGUCUUCAAAGAAGAGGAUUUCAACUUCCAAAUCGGUGUUUCUUGUGCGAAUGUGAAGAAGAAAGUGUAAAUCAUAUCCUUAUAUAUUGUACAGUGGUUAGAGCCUUAUGGGAUAUUGUCUUUGGUUUAGUUGAUGUAAAAUGGGUUUUUCCAGGAACUGUAAAGGAGGUCUUAACUAGUUAGAGGGGCUCGUUUGUGGGAAAGAAAAGGAAAAAGAUAUGGGAUGCCAUUCCGUUGUGUAUUUUUUGGACGGUAUGGAAGGAGAGGAAUAGAUUAGCUUUUAGGGGGGGGGGAGGGGUUUGAAUGUUCAAAAGUUAAAGAAUUCUUUUGUUUGUAACUUGUGGAGUUGGGCCAAAUUGUAUGUAGGUGAGAAGGCGUUCUCCCUUAUAGGCUUUUUAGAGUGGAUAGCCUCCACUUAAAGGGAGGUGAUUCUCUGUUUUGUUUUCUGAGGCCCAUGCUAUUUUGUAUACUUCCUGUAUGCUGUGUGGCGUUCAGCCUUUCUUAAUGCAUAUCUUUUACUUAUCAAAAAAAAAAAAAAAAAAAUUUUGAUGUUGUACAACAAGUUGAUAAUUCUCGAAAUAAUUAUGUGUUUUCAACAAGCUUGUGGAAAGUUGUUUCCUACACUCUUCUUGUAAAUUGUUUUGUGGAAGAAUAAGAUUCUUGAAUUCCCCAUAUUCAAAAGAAAUUUCAGCAGAUUCUUCAUGUUUGCCACCACUCAUGAUAAUGUUUGGCCUUGGGAAAUCAAACAUCGAUUCUUCUAAAACUUCUUCAACUUCUUUGAGUUCUUCUAUUGGUUGAUCUAGGAUUAGUUUCAUCACCUCUUGCUUUCUAGAUUCAUCACUGAUGAUUUCUUCCUCCUUUCUAGUAACUUCGACUUGCUUUUUAAUAAAAAUAUUUGAUGGCUCUUCUAGUUUCAAGGGUGCUAAUUUUUCCUCUGGUUGCUUAUGUGAUGGAAUUUCCUUCAUUGGACGAAGGAUCUUCUUACACCCAUUGCGCACAAGUGUGUAAGUGUUCUCAUAUCCAUCAUGUUGGACCCUUUCAUCAAAAAGCCAUGGUCUUCCAAGCAUAAUAUGAGCAACUUUCAUCAGCAAAACAUCACACCAUGAUGAUAACUCAAAAUUAUUACUGAAAUUAAACGUCACUAGACAACGAGAACUCGCCAAAAUAGAUGUGUCAUUUACCCAUGCUAUUUGAUAGGGAUUUGGAUGAUCUUCUGUCUUUAGAUUAAGCUUCUCAACAAGCUCCUCUGAAGCUAGAUUGGAACAACUACCUCCAUCAAUAAUCAAAGUACAUAGUCUUCCUUGACAAACAAUACGAGUUUGGAAUAUGCUAGUAUGUCGCCAAUCCUCCUCUUCAUUUAGUCUUAGUAUGUUCACCAAUGGCUGCAUAAAAAAGUUGUAGCUUUCAACCAUGGUUGCAUAUGUUGCUCCACUCCUCAAUUACAUAUGCCUUCAUGCCAAGAAUUUUCGCUCUGAUACCAAAAUUGAUGUAGGACAACCCUAGGAUGGUUGCCUACACUCAAGGGUAGGUGGGCUAGGGUUUUAUUUUUAAGGUGUAAAGAGAGGAACAAGGAAUAAAUUUUAUGGUAGAGAAAAUUAUAAGAUAAGAAAUAGAGAGAAAGAAGAAACAAUGAAGAAAAGAUGAAAAACCUUAGAGUCUCACUAAGGCCUUCUAAGAGUCUCACCUAGAAGAAAAUCAAUGGAGUCUCACCAUUGAGGGUUGCAAUUUUGCAAUGAAAGAAAGUAUAAUAUUAUUCAUCAAAUUCAUCCCUUUGAUUUACAUUGAUUAGCCUAUUUAUAGGCUUCUCUAAGAAAUCCAAAGUCUACUAGGACUCUAAUAACCUAUUAUGAUUCUCAUUCUAAUUAUAACAUCCAAAGUCUACUAGGACUCUUCAAAUUCUAAUUAUAUUAUAACUCAACUAGCUAAUCCUAAUUAGACUCCAACAAAUAUUAAUCCUAAUUUAAUUCCAAGUAAUAUUAAUCCUAUUUUAAUUACAACUAAUACUAAUUCCCUUUCUUGAUAUAUAUCUUGAAGAUUCAUCCUCAUCAAAUAACCUGCUCCCAAAGAGCCCCCCUUUCAACCAUAAAAUGCCAACUUCAUUUGCACAAAAGGGCCCUAUUGAGUGUAGAAAGACAUCCAACAUCCAAUCCACCCUUUCUUUUGUUUGAACAAACCACCGCCUACUUAACUAGAUGAGGCUUCCUCCCUAAAGCCCCCCCUAAAGAAAGUCCCUUUAGAUUUUCUCUAAUCUCAAUCUAACCACUCUUUGCAUAUGGAAUAGGGACAUGUAGUAAAUAAGGAAGCUAGACAAUGUACUCUGAAUAAGAGUGAUUCUCCCUCCCUUAGAGAUAAAUUGCCUUUUUCAUAGAGCUAGCCUUUUGCGAAACCUCUCCACCACCCCAUCCCAAACUGCCACAGGAUUAUGCGGAGCACCUAGAGGAAGCCCCAAAUAAGAGGAAGGAAGCUCUCCCACCUUACAACCAAGCUCAAGGGCCAAAACCUCAAGAGGAAGGGAGGAGGAUUCCAUCCCCCUCCCUAGAGGAAGCCCCAAGCAUUUUCUUGUAGAUAGGGUAGCUAUCUAAAUUCUACCAUCGAUCAUCUUUGGUUGGUUAAGUUGAUUGAGUAAUUUGAAUAUGCUCUUUGUGGAUUUGUACUUUAUGUUGCUGAGUAAAUGCUCCUAUAUUUAAGUGAUGGUCAAGUUUUUUCUUUUUGAGUUCUCAAGCAUAGAUAAGGAAAAUUUAGUAAGCUAAUUCACCUAUUAAGGUGGGGCAUCCAAGAGUUGAACUUGGGACAUUUUGCACCCACAGAAAGAAUCAUUUUAGUGUAUCAAAUGUGCAGAUGUUGUACAUGUUUUGUUAUAUCAAUAUGAUUGCUUCUUAUCACCAUUGUAACUCUUAAAAGUUUUUUAUGCAUGUUGAGUGAAUGUGCAUUUGGUUGUUAAAAUAUCAGUACAAAGAAGUGGCAAAAACAAUAGGAGUAGAUUUUAUCCAGUAGCUUCAGAAAUAAUCAAAACUUAAACAGGAGUUCUGUGCCUACAAUCCAUGAUUUGAGUGUCUAGCAUGUUUGUCUCUAAAGUCUCUUGUUUAUACAAUUGCUUGUUUGGCAUGGCAAAAAGCUGUUUCCUACUGUACAGAUGGAAUAUUUUCUUGAUUAGGUUUCCAUCUAUAUUCUAACUUUGGUUGUGUUUGGUUGGUACUGUUGAUUUAUUAACUUGAAUAAUUGAUUUCAUCUUUGUGGAUGUUCAUUCCAUGCAACACUUUCUGCUCUUUGUUAUAGUGUAUGUGUUGGGAUUGGGCUGAUGCAUUUUUAAGGUGACUGAGGUGAAAGGUUUUGUUUGUCUUGCCCAUGUUGAUAUUAUUAUCUGCUGCUUACUUAUCAAUGAAGGAUAAUUAACAUUUUCUGUGGAAGUGUUUAACUUUGGAUGACAUCUUUGCCUAAAUAUUUAGAACAGAAAAAUAGCAGUAAAAGAUUGUAUGUGUAGGUGAAGUCACUGAUUAAGGUGGGGCAUUCUGAGAAUCAAACUUGGGGCCUCUUGCACCCAGAGCAAGAAUCACACCACCAGACCACAUGUCCAGUUCCUUUAUGCCACAAUAUUUAUAUCAAAUUUUCCAUAGUGAGAUGCUCAUUACAUGUUGACUCUAAAGAACCUUUUUGUCAUCAAUGUGUUUGUUGGAGCAUACAUACUGUGAUCAUGAAUGUUGUCAUGAACACAGAAAAAUUAAAAUGUUUCGUGGCAGUUUUUUAGUUGACAGGGAAUUACAUAGUUAAGCCAAAAAAUUUAAAUUAGAAUGAAGUAAAAAUAUGCCCACUGAAUUGGUUCAUUACCACUAUGAUAACGAUGGAGUAUUUAGAAAAAAAAUUCACUAUUUCCUUGUUGAAAGAAAAAACUACCAGUCGACCAAAUAUCUCUCUCUCUCUCAUCAGUGUUCAAUUUGGCAUGUCCUUGUGCUGUCCUUAAGUCUAGAGAAAAGAAUGCCUGCUUGGAUCCACUUGUUAUUUUUUUAUGACAUGCAUACUUUAUCAAUUGCAUUGCUAUAGUGUUUAUAUUGGUAAGCUGCUGAGGAAAUGCUAACAAGUGUUAUGCUUUGGGUUUGACCCUAUUUCCAUGAAGCCAAGUGUUCUUGCUGGAAAAGAGUCAAAGACCACUUUGAGAGACCUUUUUUUUCCUAAUAUGGUCUUGAUGAUAAAAGAAUGUCCUUGAGCUUUUAUUCUCUUAAUCCAUGACUGCGCUCAUGCAACUCAAGCUGAAGAAACUUAUUCAAUGGUCACUGCUAACCACUUUUGGUCCCAAAUCUUUGAUGUUUACAUAUGAAUCCCUACGUCGUUACAUUCCAUUUAGGAUUAGGAAUAGGCGUAAGAAGGAAGUUUGAGCUUGAUGCAAAUGGCUAAAAUAUCUUCCGCUUAGAUAGAUUAUAGAUAUAAGAAAAUCUAAUAAAAAAUGUUGCAUUCAUACCAAAUCAUCUGGCAGUUGUCCAAGGGGACAUUCUAAGAAGUGAUCUCAAAUCCUUGCACCUAAAGUAACAGUUUGAUUGCUAAACCAAACUCCCAAUUGUCGUUUCUUAUUGUUUUCUUUUCAUUUUCACCUUUGUUGGACAACCCAGCUGCAACUGUGAUAUGUUUGUCUAAGAUGUCCUUCAAAGGUAGGUAGCCUCCAGACAUGGCUCCAGAGAGCUAAAAUUGGAAAAUAAAAUUUUAUUUUGUUGUUUUUUUAUUUUUAUUUUUAUGAACAAAACUCUUCUGAAUUAGAGGUACUGAAAUCUUUUAGUCUAUGGUAGUUUUACAUUGCUCCUUUGAGUGAUUAGAUGAUUUAGAAAAAAUAAAUUAAUGAUGAAAUCUUAAUAAUUUUCGUGGUUCUUCUCAUCUUUUAUUGGCUAAAGUUCAUUGAGUAUUUGAAUUUGUUCUUCAAUUGGAUGUUCACACCAUGUGACAGUGCUUUCUCAUGUUCCAGUGUUAACUGCAUGUGUUGGGGUUGAGGAAGAUGGCUUUCUGUGCCAACCAUAAGGUUGCAGGUUUGAUUUUUGAGAUGCUCACCUUGAUUCAAGAUCUGCUUCUUGCUUCUUCUCAAUUCAUCCAUGAAGAAUAUUGUCAGAGCAGUGUUGUGUCUGUACCAGUUAAUUCUUUUCUCUUUUUAAUUCUACUUCAGAUCAGAUUAAUCUACUCAGAAUUUUUAAACAUAUGAUAUUAUGCUAUAGUUCUUGUAGAUUUUUUAUGUUUUGUUUCAUUGAGUACGUGAAUGACUGCUUCCAUUUCUUCUAAUAUUAUGGCUAAGUUAUGUGCUGCAGUUGAGGCAGCUCAUGCUUGUUUCUUAUUAAUUAAUUGUAAAGAAUUUUGUCAUGUUACAAUUAUUUCUGGUCUUGUUAAAACUUUCGAUUACAGAUUUUGAGUUGACUAUAGGUCAGAUUGUUAAAAUAUUUAAACAGAAUGAAAAGGAGAACUGAAUACUGUAUGGGUAAACUAAUUCCUGAUUAAAGUAUGUUAUAUCUGGCCUAGUGAAACUUUCCAUAACAGAUUUUGAGCUGACAUUAGGUCAGAUUCCUCGAAUAUUUAAAAUAGAACGAAAUGGAGAACUGAAUACUGUAUGGGUAAACUAAUUCCUGAUUAAAGUACUAUGCUUCUUUACUCAAAGCAGAAUGAAAUGGAGAACUGGAUACUGCAUAAGUGAAUUAAUUGCUGAGUAGAGUACUUUGCUUCAUUAUUUAAAGCAGAAUGAAAUUAGACAAAUAAAAUGACUAUGCAUGAAUGAAUUCUUGAUUAACGUAUGUAUCUUGGACUGACAAAGAAAGUCUAUUACUUAAAUUUAUUGAUAAAGUAUAUCUUAGUAGGUUUGGGUUGGAGUACUUGGCUCAGUACCUGAAUAAAUGAGCAGGGAUAAGGUGAUAAAACUGCUCGGUGGAGAACCCAAAGACAACUGCCACAUCCCAGAACUGACAAACUUUUUGUGACCAUGUAGAGCAGUUAAGCUGGAGAUUCAGAAAGUUUUCAUAAACUGAAGUUACCUACAUAGGUAAGAAAGAAUAACUCAUUUUCUUUUCUUCUUAUGCUAUUGUUCUAUUCGGUUUUAGUUGUAUGAGUACUUGAAAUUUUUUGUUUAAAUGGAUGUUCACACCACGUGACACUGAGCAAAUUCUUCCAUGUGUCCUUGCAUUAUGGUUAAGUGUGUAUGCUGGGAUUGAGGCAGAUGACUUUUUUCUGCCAAACUCUGACAAUGAGGCUGCAGAUUUGAACUUUGGGCUGCCUGCCUUGAUAUCAAUAUCUGAUUCUUUUUUCAUAUCCAUUUAUUAAGCCAUCUUGUCAGAACAAAAUUAUAUUUAGAGUAGUUAAAUUUUUUUAUUGCAGUUUGACUUUUAGGUGAGUCUAGAAGAGAGUGAAAUGGAGAACUGGAAAAAUGUGUAGAUGAGUGAAUUUCUCAUAAAAAUGGGGCAUUCCGAGAAUUGAACUCGGGACCUCUCGCACCCUAAGCGAGAAUCAUACCACUAGACCAAAUGCCCAUUUGCUGAUUUUUAUGUUUUCAGCUUCUGAUCAAUGUGGCUGAUUGGAUUUAAAGGGGUUAGUAGCUAUUGCUCCAAUUUCUCCUGUUAACUUCUAGGUGAUCCACCUUCAUCUAAAGGAGUGUGCUUUCUUGUUGCCCUCAACCUCCUAAGAUUUGGAUCUCACAGUCUGAACCCAAACAGCCUUUAUUUUUAUAUUGUUUAUCUUAUAGAUUCAUAAAUAUUAUGUAGCCUAGAUAUUGACUUGUUUGGUCCCUGGAUACCAAGAGCUAGAAAUUUAAGAUUGUAUUCUGACCAAUUAGUGGUGCCCAAGUCUCUGAGUUAUUGUCAUCUUCCUUUGCUUCUUUGGUUAGUCAGACUGGAGGAAGAUGAGAUUAAAUUUGAAGUCUUCCAUGAAUUGGUGGUUGUAUGAUUCAAAAUAUAUGGGAUUAACCAUUUUUUUUAAUCCCAUAGUUCUAAUAGAUUUACCUGUAUAAGUUCUUGAAUUUGUUCUUCAAAUGAUGUUCAGGUGAUGUGGCACUGAACAAAUUCUUCCAUGCGUUCUAGUAUUGAGCUUAGGUGUAAGUUCUGGGACUGGGAUAGAUGGCUUUCCCUGUUGAGUGCUGGCAACACGAUCACAGGAUUUAUUUUGGUCUGCUCAUAUUAAUUGCUUCUUUUUUCUCAUCAAUUUAUAGAUGGAAAAUCUUGUCAGAACACAGUUAAACCUGGACUAGUUAAAAUUUUCAUUGCAGUUGGACUUCAGGUCAGUCUACUUUGCUCAGAUAUUUAAAAUAGAAUAAAGUAGACAACUGAAAAUAUAUAGGUAAAUGAGCUUGUUAUUAAAAUGGGGCAUUCCGAGAAUCGAACUCGGGACCUCUCGCACCCAAAGCGAGAAUCAUGCCACUAGACCAAAUGCCCAGUUGCUGAUGUUGUGCUGUUCAGUUUAUGAUCAAUGUGGCUUAUUAAAUUGAGGUCUUUAUCACUUCUGAUCUCCUAUAGCUACUGUUAAUAUAAGGUGAACUUUCUUCAUUUAAAGGCCAUUUUUUCUUGGUACCACCCAUGAGAUUUGUAUGUGAUAUUUCGAACCUGAACAGAUUUUAGUAUUAUAUUGCUUACCUAAUAGAUUCAUAAUCUUAUGAUUGCCUAGAUAUGGAGUUGCUUGGUUCCUGGAUAGUAAGGACUACAAUGAUUAAUGGCAUCCAAUUCUCUAAGUCUUUGAUCAGUUUACUUUGCUUCUUGGUUGCCCAGAGAGUGGUGGAAAAAGAAAUUAAAUUUGAAACCUAAUAUGAAUUGGAGGUUGUAUGAUUUAAAAUAUUCCUUUUCUUCCCUAAGAUAUCUUUGCAACCAAAGCAUAUUUUUAGCCUCGAAGAACAAGUUGAGCUAGAACAUCAAAUCCUAUUUGUUGUCACAGCAAGAUUAAUCAGAAUGCUUGUGUAUCUUAAUUAAGAUUAAUCAGAAUGUCAUGCAUUGGGUGGUGACCUAACCUCAAAAUCUUCAGUAAUUACUGAAGUUUUGUUUGCUUAGUUUCCACGUAAUUGUUACUUCUACAAUGUUGUUGUGCACUGAAAGGUUGAGAUGCUAUUUUCAAGUACAUUUAAAUCAGGAUGCAGAUCAACUUUGAAAAGAGAUAAUUUUACAUAAGGAAAUCAUUGAUUUUUAUGUUUUUUUAAUUUUUAAUUUUUUUUAUUUUUGUAUGGUGAAAAGCAUGUUUUUUGAUCCAAGAAAAGGUCUGUUACUUUCUUAAUUUAUUAUUGGAGCAUCUCAUUGAUAACUCUUAGGUGUACAAGUUGACCAGAUCAGAAUGCUUGGUAGAGCACUUGGAAAAAUGAGCAGCAGACUGGAAAAUUUGGUGGAGAGCCUAAACACAGGGUACCAUAUCCCAAGAAAGAACUAAAUCUUUUGGCAACCAUGUGGAACUGGGUGGUUGGACUUCCGGAAAAUUCCCAUAAACUGAUCUCAACUACUUAUGUAAGAAUGGAUGGCACACUUGUUUUCCUUUUAUACUUUGGUUGUGGUAAACUUUUGCUUGGUUUAAGUUGAUUGAGUACUUGAGCCUGUUCUUCAAAUGAGCAACCACUUCCAAAUUUUUUCUAUGCCCAAGUGUUUGUGCCACGGUCAAGGCAGCUGGUGCUGGCUUCUUAUUAGCUCAUUGAUAAAGAAUCUUGUCAGUGCAUAAUUAUAUCUGGCCUAGCUAGAAGUUUCCUUGCUGUUUUUAAGUUGACUUUAGGUAAGAUUGCUCACAUAUUUAAAGCACAGUGAAAUAGAAAACUGAGCACUGUCUAGGUCAAUGAUCCCUGAUUAGUUUAUCUUGCUGUUUUUGAGUUGACUUUCAAUCAGAUUACUCUAAUAUUUAAAACACAAUGAAAUAGAGAACUGAAUAACUUACCAGAUUAAUGAUUCCUGAUUAGUACUCUGCUUAAACAUUUAAAAUAGAAUGAAAUAGGUGAGUGAAAAUUUAAAAAAACAAAAUAAAAUCUGUACAGGCAAAUGACUUCCUGAAUAAAAAGUGGGGCAUUCCGAGAAUCGAACUCGGGACCUCUUGCACCCAAAGCAAGAAUCAUACCACUAGACCAAAUGCCCGAUUAUUGAUGCAUAUUAGUUUUAUUUUUAGUCAAGUGUUUAGUUGAAUUUACAUCUUUUGCAGUUGAAAAUUUUUUCUGCAUGUUGACUGAAUGUACCUUUAGUUAUUAAUAUAUCAGUACAGUAGGCUGUAUGCUUGCUUAUAUAUCAUGUUAUACUCAUGAUCAUGCUAAUAUCUGUAACUGGAUUUAGAAUUUGUGGCAAUGGACUUUAUGUGUACUGUGUUGACUUAAUAUGAUGUUGAUCCAUAGGCUCUAGUGUUUAGUGCUUCAAUACCAGACUUGGGUCUGAAUUGAACCAUAUACUUGUACAUUUGCUCACAUGCAUGCACACACACAUGUGAGUUUGAAGAGGUUCUGGGUACUUGUAUGUUUUUUGUUCACAUAUUUUGAUUACUCGUGGUGUGUGUUUACCAAAACAACAUGUGCUAUUUCGGUGAGAGCUAUAUUCUUCAUUAUGCCACUAAUAUAGCUUGUUGAUGGUUCUUUUCUAUUCUAGUGGUUUUUAUUUGAGUUGAGGCUAUUGCUCAACAGGACAAGCUUUGUAAACUGUUCAUGAGGUCAAUUUGUAGGUGGGAAUCUCAUCAUGGAAAAAGGAAAAUUGUGAUGAUUUAAUUGGUCUUAUGUUGCAGUGAGUUGGCCUGGGUUAUAAUACUGACUCAAGUUUGUAUCAAAAUAAAUAAAUAAUAUAUAAUAAAAUUGUGAGUUUGUUUAAUCCCUGAUUUGGAUAGGGCAUUCUAAGAAUGAAAGUUGAGACAUCAUGCACUCAAGGGGAGAAUCCUACCACUAGAUCAAUUGCCUUAUCAUUGAUGGUUAUCUAUUAUCAGAAAAUUAGUGUGUUUCUGUGGUUGGCUGUAAUUGCAAUAACUUGGUUAGUUUUAAGUUUUAUUGGUUGCAACUGAAAAUGCUUGUUCUUUUAUUCUCCUCAAUUGGGAAACUUUUGAAUUGCAAGAAGAGGCUUUCCUUUGCCAGCAGGUGCUUAGAGGGUCCAAGAAAUAUGAGAGUAUUAAUCAAAUUUGAUCCCCAUUUUCUCCUGUGGAUCUUUACAGUAAUCUUAGAAAAAACAACAUUUCCUGGUCUUGAUCUGUAGAUCUUCUUGAGCAUUAUCUAUACCUUGCAAGGGACUUAGGUGACUCAUCUGAAGCAUUGGUCUUGAGAUCGAAGCGGUUACAUAUUUUUCCAAUAACCACUAGCUUGCAAAAAGGGUAAGAAUGCUUGUGGUAUUAGUAACUUCCAAAAGAUUUCCUGAAAUUGUUCAUGCUUCUUCACAUGUUGAUCCCUAGAAGUCAUGACUGCAGCCUAAGACAUGAGAUUUUAGUAGUAUAUGAAAGACAACCCUGUUGAGAAGAUAAGUGAUAAGUACCCCAUACAAAAAAUUAAGUGUCCUGAAUCACUAUGCUCUGCCUUGAGGCAUAAAAAAGUAGCAUAUUCUGUUGAGUAGCUUGAAAAUUUGUCAGAACACAAAUAAGAAGCUGAUGCUAACUGUCCAAAAGUUUGGUGGGGAUAAUCCUUUUUUCCAAAGUCUCAUUCCUAUAAUUUGUCAUUGGCAAGCUAAAUUUGUAUUUGGUUGGUGCUGUAUAAUCUGACUGGGCAUUCUCUAGUUCAUAAAUGCUUGUCUGGUGCUAUUCCUGAUUAAAAGUAUUCUGCCCAAAUAUUGGAAACAAAAUGAAAUGUUAUUUCUGUUUGGUGUGUGCUGUGAAACCCUCAGUGAACACUUUCCAGUUCCUGAAUGCUUGUCCAGUGCCUUUUCCUGAUCAAACUACACUGGUCAAAUAUAUAAAACAGAACGAAUAUUGAAAUGAAUUCCUGGUUAUAGUACUCUGUUCAAAUAUUUAAAACAGAUAAAAAUAUAGAUAAAAGAAAACUGCACUGGUUAAGGAAUUCCUGAUCAAAAGUGGGGGCAUUCCGAGAAUCGACCUCUCGCACCCAAAGCGAGAAUCAUACCACUAGACCAAAUGCCCAACUGUUGAAUUUUAUCAUAUUCAACUUAUGAUCAUUGUGUGUGAUUGGAAUCAAGGGACUAGUCACUUUUGAUCUCUUGUCACUCCUUUUAAUUUUUAAGUGGACCUUUAUUUAAAGAAGCAACCUGUUCCUGUUGCCUCACCUGUUUUGAGGUGUAUGUGUGGCUAGCAGGGGUUGAAUUUGAAACUUCUACUUCUGAUACUCUCUUAAUUUCAGAAGCCAUUAGAUUGCUUGAAUAGGUUUAGUUUUCAAGCUAAUUGCUUGGCUAGGGUUUGUGUUCAAGUUAAUUGCCUUGAUAGGGUUUUGUUUUCAAUCAAAUUGCUUAGAUAGGGAUUUGUCCUCAAGCUAUAAACUAUUACAGCAAGGAACCAACAGAAUGUCAAUUUCAUUCCAGUAUCAAAUGUUCCAAAUUGAUUCUUUUCUGAAUAUCUAUUUGGAGGAAGCGAAAUUGUCUGAUCUUGAACCUGAGGCUGCUAUAGUUAUCAGAUUCUUAUCCUGAGAAAUUGAUGUUGUUUCUGUGGCCUCUGCAAGCACAGAAAUCUUUUGUACCACAAUAGUGUUCAAUGUAUUUCUUCUCUUUAUUGAAUGGAACUGUCUUGGCAUUAAGUUCUAUUGCAGGCUUCAGAUGACCCAUCAGAAGCAAUCAAGUGUAGUCUGCAGUGUCAUUCUUCUUAGUGUUGGGCUGGAGUAAAGCAGUGUAAGAGUUGAAAGUGAAUCUUGUUCUGGUGGCAGUCCAAGAUUAAUCAGAAUGCUUGUUGAUGCUAUUUCCAAAUAAAUCAAAUGUUUUCUUGUAAAUAGGGUUGCUAUUCAAAUUCUAUCUUUGGUCAUCUCUGGUUGGUAAAGUUGAUUGAGUGAUUUGAAUAUGCUCUUUGUGGAUUUUUACUCCAUGUUCGUGAGUAAAUGCUCCUAUAUUUAAGUGAUGGUCAAGUCUUUUCUUUUGAGUUCCCAAGGAUGGAGCAGGAAAAUUUAAUGUAGCAUUCACCAAUUAAGGUGGGGCAUCCAGAGUUGAACUUGGGAUAUUUUGCACCCAAAGCAAGAGUCAUUUUAGUAGAUCAAAUGUGCAAGUGUUGGUACAUAUUUUGCUACAUCAAUGUGCUUGCUUCCUAUCACCAAUUGUAAUUGUUGAUAGUUUUUCAUGCAUGUUGACUUAAUGUGCAUUUGGUUGUUAAAAUAUCAGUACAGAGAAGUGGCCAAAACAACAUGACCAUAUUUUAUUCAGUAGCUUCAGAAAUCAUCAAAACUUAAACAGGAGCGCUAGGCCUAGGAUCCAAGAUUUGGGUGUGUCUAGCAUGCUUAUCUCUCAAGUCUCUUGUUUAUACAAUUGCUUGUUUGGCUUUAAGGUGAGUUUACUGUUCAGAUAUUUAAAAGAGAAGGAAAUAGAGAACUAAAAAAUGUAUAGAUGAGUGAAUUUCUCAUAAAAAUGGGGCAUUCCGAGAAUUGAACUUGGGACCUCUCACACCCUAAGCGACAAUCAUACCACUAGACCAAUUGCCCAUUUUCUGAUUUUUAUGUUUUCAUCUUCUGACCAAUGUGGUUGAUUGGAUUUAAAGGGAUUUGUAACUCAUGCUCCAAUUUCACCUGAUAACUUUGAGGUGAUCCACCUUCAAAUGUGCAGAUGUUGGUACAUAUUUUGCCAUAUCAAUGUGCCUGCUUCUUAUCACCAAUUGUAACUGUUGCUAGUUUUUGAUACAUGUUGACUUAAUGAGCAUUUGGUUGUUAAAAUAUUAGUAAAAAGUAGUGGCAAAAACAACAGGAGCAGAUUUUAUUAUGUAGCUUCAGAAAUAAUCAAAACAUAAACAGGAGUUCUGGGCCUUCAAUCCAAGAUUUGGGUGUGUCUAGCAUGUUUAUCUCUCAAGUCUCUUGUUUAUAUAAUUGCUUGUUUGGCUUUUAGGUCAGUCUAGUCUGUUCAGAUAUUUAAAAGAGAAGAAAAUAUAGAACUAAAAAAUUUAUAGAUGAGUGAAUUUCUCAUAAAAAUGGGGCAUUCCGAGAAUUGAACUCGGGACCUCUCGCACCCUAAGCGAGAAUCAUACCACUAGACCAAAUGCCCAUUUGCUGAUUUUUAUGUUUUCAUCUUCUGAUCAAUGUGGCUAUUUGGAUUUGAAGGGGUUUGUAACUUUUGCUCCAAUUUCUCCUGUUAACUUUUAGGCGACUCACCUUCAUCUAAAGGAGUGUGCUUUCUUGGUGUCCUCAACCUCCUAAGAUUUGGAUCUCACAGUCUGAACCCAAGUAGCCCUUAUUAUUAUGUUGUUUGUCUUAUAGAUUAAUAAAUAUUAUAGCGCCUAGAUAUUGACCUGUUUGAUCCCUGGAUACCAAGAGCUAGAAAUGUAAGAUUGUAUUCUGACCAAUUAAUGGUGCCCAAGUCUCUGAGUUGUUGUCAUCUUACUUUGCUUCUUUGGUUUGUCAGACUGGUGGAACAUGAGAUUAAAUUUGAUAACUUCCAUGAAUUGGAGGUUGUAUGAUUUGAAAUAGUCCUUUCCAUUUUCUUCACUGAAAUUUCUAGGCAGCCAGAGCAUAUUGUUAGUAUGUAAAGACAACAAGGUGAGCUGGAACAUUAAAUCUUGUUUGUUGCUAUGGACAGAUUAAUCAAACUGAUUGCAUCACUUGAUAAUUUUCUCUUGCAUUCCCUCAAAAUUUCCAGUUAUCACUGAAGUUUACUUGCUGUAGUCUCCACAUAAUUGUUGCUAAAUGAUUCUGUUACCUGCUGAAUGGUUAAGAUGCUACUUUCAGGAAAUGCUGGAUGUAGAUCUACUUUAAGAAAAACAUUCUAGGUUAGAAAAGCCAUUGAGAACUUCUUCUAUAUGGCUAAUGCAUGCUUCUCUAACCAAAUGGAAAAGUAUGUUCUUAGUUUAUUGAUGGAGUACCUUACAGUAAACUAUUUGGUAGUUGACUGUGUUAGCAUUACUUGAAAAAAUGACAGGAUGAGUUGACAGGACAGUUAGGUGGAAAGCCCAAGAGUAAAAUAUCAUAUCAGGUUGCAGGUUUGAUUUUGAGCUACAAACCUUUAUAUCUAGACCUGCUUCUUGUUUCUUCUCAAUUCAUGGAUGAAGAAUGUUGUCAACAGAGCUUUAUCUGGUCCAGUUGAAGGAUUUAUUUUCUUGCAGUUUGACUUCAGGUCUUUAUUGCAGUUCGACUUCAGCUCAGAAUCUUUAAACAAAAAGUAGAGAAUUGAUAAAACUGUCUGGUUAAAUAAAUUCCUGAUUGAAAUGGGGCAUUCCGAGAAUCGAACUCGGGACCUCUCGCACCCGAAGCGAGAAUCAUACCACUAGACCAAAUGCCCAAUUGCUGAUGUUUAUCUUGUUCAAUAUUUUACUAGUGUUUUUCUAUUAGAUGUAAGGGAUUUUUUAGACCAGUAGGUGCUCUUUUUAAUUCUUAAGUGAACAACCUUGAACUAAAAAAGCAUGGUUUCUUGCUUCACUCCUUCGAAGAUUUGGUAUUGUGUGGUGCUUGUGUCCCUAGCAGGAUGGAUGCAAAAGAUUCUCAAAAGUUACUCAAUCAUGCAUACAUGAUAUGCACAUGUACACACCACACACAUAUGGAUCUCAGCUUUUGAACCUGAAGUAAAUGUUUAGAUUCAUGAUGUUAGGGGUUGGCCAAUAGCCUCUCUGCAUAUGUAAUUUGCCUGUCCAUGGAUAGCAAGAACUAGAAAAGUAAAAUUCCUUCCUACCAAAUUAGAGUGACUUAAUUCUUCAAGUCUCUCAUCAUUUUACUUUGCUUCUUUGGUUGUCCUAGAUGAUGGGGGUAAAGAGAUGAAUUUGGAUGUUGUAUGACUCAAAAUAUUGGUUUUCUUGUUUCUUUCCGGGAAAAGGAAACUAAUAUUUGAAAUUUUGUAUGAACUUGGAGUUGUGUGAAUCAGAAUAUUGCUAUUCCUUAUUUUCUCAGAUUUCUCAGCAGCCGGACAAACCAUACCAGUAGCCUGUUGAGAAACAAGGUAAGCUGAAGGUGAAAUCCUGUAUGCAAGAUUAAUCAUAAUGCUCAUAUGGCUUGAAACUUUCCACAUGCUUUCCUUGGUGCUACCUCAAAAUUUAACUUGGAUUUUGUUUGCUGUAGCCUCUAUUUUUUGGUACUUUGUGAUGUUGUCAUUCAUGGAACUGUUAAGAUGCUAUUAAAUUAGAAUGUGGAUCAUCUUGAAAAAAAUGAUUUUACUUUGGAAAAUCAUCAAGAAUCUUCUGUGGAUAUUCAAAAUAUGUUACUUGUACCAACAAAGGAAGUCCUGCUUCUUAAUUUAAAGACCAAGUAUCUUCACAGGUAAUGACUUGGUUUACAAGUUGACCGGAUCAGAAUACUUGGCAUAGUUCUUGAAGAAAAUGAGAUGAGUUGAUAGGACUGUUAGGUGGAGAGCCCAACCAAAAGAUUCCACAUCCAAGAAAAGACAAACUUUCAGCAACUAUGUAGAGCAGUAAGGUGGGCUGCCAGGAACUUUCUAUGACCUGAAAUUACCUACUUAUACAAGAAACACUGACUUUUAAUUUUUUUUAAUCCCAUACUUCUAAUAGGUUUACCUGCAUAAGUCCUUGAAUUGGUUGUUCAGGCGAUGUGACACUGAACAAAUUCUUCCAUGUGUUCUAGUAUUGAGCUUAGGGGUAUGUUCUGGAACUGAGGCAGACAGUUUUCCCUGCUCUGUGUUGACAAUGAGGUUUCAGGUUUAAUUCUUGUCUGCUCAUAUUGAUUGCUUCUUUUUUCUCUUCAAUUCAUUGAUGGAGAAUCCUGUCAGAACACAGUUAAACCUUGACUAGUUAAAAUUUUUAUUGCAGAUGGACUUUGGGUCAGUCUACUUUGCUCAGAUAUUUAAACUAGAAUAAAGUAGAGAACUGAAAAUAUAUAGUUAAAUGAGCUUGUUAUUAAAAUGGGGCAUUCCGAGAAUCGAACUCGGGACCUCUCGCACCCAAAGCGAGAAUCAUACCACUAGACCAAAUGCCCAGUUGCUGAUGUUUAUGUUGUUCAGUGUUUGAUCAAUGUGGCUGAUUAAAUCUAGGAAUUUAUCACUUCUGAUCUCCUGUAGCUACUGUUAAUUUAAGGUGAACCUCCUUCAUCUGAACAACCAUUUUUUCCUGGUGCCACCCCUGAGAUUUGUAUCUGAUAUUUUGAACCUGAACGGAUUUUAGUAUUAUAUGUUUACCUAAUUGACUCAUAAUGUUAUGAUGGCCUGGAUAUUGAGUUGCUUGGUUCCUGGAUAGCCAGGACUACAAUGAUUAGUGGCAUCCAAGUCUCUUGAGUCUUUGGCCAGUUUGCUUUGCUUCUUGGUUGCCCAGACAGUGGUGGAAAAAGAGAUUAAAUUUGAAACCUUACAUGAAUUGGAGGUUGUAUGACGUAAAAUAUUCCUUUUCUUCCUAAGAGAUCUUUGCAGCCACAGCAUAUUGUUAGCCUCUAAGAACAAGUUGAGAUAGAACAUCAAAUCCUAUUUGUUGUCACGGCAAGAUUAAUCAGCAUGCUUGUGUAUCUUGAUAAUUUCCUCCCGCAUUAGGUGGUGACCUAACCUCAAAAUCUUCAGUAAUUACUGAGGUUUUGUUUGCUUAGUUUCCACGCGGUUGUUAAUUUACUUACUUUACAAUGUUGUUGUGCACUGAAAGGUUAAGAUGCUAUUUUCAAGUAGAUAUAAAUCAGGAUGCAGUUCCAGUAUGAGAAGAGAAAUCAUUUUACACAAGCAGAAUCAUUGGAAACUUUUUUUUUUUUUUUUUUUUGGGUAUUAUGACAAGCAUGUUUUUUGAUCCAAGAAAAAGUCUGUUACUUCUUAAUAUACUGAUGGAGCAUCUCAUUGGUAACUCUUAGGUGUACAAGUUGACUAGAUCAGAAUGCUUGGUAGAGUACUUGGAAAAAUGAGCAGCAGACAAGAAAAUUGGGGGGAGAGCAUAAACACAAGGUUCCAUAUCCCAACAAAGGACUAAUCUAUUGGCAACCAUGUGGAGCUGGGCAGUUGGACUUCCGGAAAAUUCCCAUAACCUGAUCUCACCUACUUAGGUAAGAAUGAAUGGCACACCUGUUUUCCUACUUCACUUUGGUUCUGACAAACUUUUGCUGGUUUUAGUUGAUUGAUUACUUGAGCCUGUUCCUCAAAUGUGUGACUGCUUCCAAUUUUUUUCCAAUAUCAUGGCCAAGUUUGUGUGCUACAGCCAAUACAGCUGGUGCUUGUUUCUUAUUGAUUCAUUGAUAAAGAAUCUUGUCAGUGCAUAAUUAUAUCUGACCUAUGUAAAAGUUUCCUUGCUGUUUUUAAGUUGACUUUAGGUAAGAUAGCUCAAAUAUUUAAAACACAAUGAAACAGAAAACAGAACACAGUGAGGUCACUGAUCCCUGAUUAGUUUCUCUUGCUGGUUUUGAGUUGACUUUCAAUCAUAUUGCUGCAAUAUUUAAAACACAAUGAAAUAGAGUACUGAAUACAGGUCAAUGAUUCCUGAUAAGUACUAUAUUCAAACAUUUAAAACAGAAUGAAAUAGGCAAGUGAGAAAUAAAAAAAUAAAAAUCUGUACAGGCAAAUGACUUCCUGAAAAAAAAAAAUGUGGGGCAUUCCGAGAAUCGAACUCGGGACCUCUCGCACCCAAAGCGAGAAUCAUACCACUAGACCAAAUGCCCACUUGUUGAUGUUUAUGUUGUUUGGUUUCUACUUAAUGUGUUGAUGGAUUCCCUUUCCCCCAUCCUCCAUCAUGAUAGUAUCUCUACCAGGACAGUGCUGAGAUGAAAAUACAAAUUAUCUCAUUUUUUUAACUUGAAACAUCUGUUAAUAUUAUAUUGUCUAUCUCAUCAUUCAAACUUUGUGGUGGCCUUUUCAGAUAUGAAGCUGAGUAGGCUCUGGAUAGCAAAAACCAGAAUAAUAAAAUUGCAAUCUAGCCAAUUAAUGGCACUAAGGACUCUGAGCUCGUGGUCAUUUUCCAUUGCUUCUUGGUUACCCAAACCAUGGAUAAACAAAGAAAUUAAGGUUGAGAUCUUUCAUGAGUUUUGGAGUUUGUAUGCUUCAAAAUAUUUUUUGCCAUCUUUUCUUUUCUUCCUAACAUUCGGCAACAGAGCUUUUUGUUAGCCUGCAGAAAAACAAAAUGAGCUGCAAGGUUGAGUCCUCUUUGUUGCCAUGACACUUAAUCAGAAUGCUCAUAUAGCUUGAUAAUUUCCUCUUGCAUCAGAUGGUGAUCUACCCUCAAAAUCUUGAGCUUCUAUGAUGCUAUUUUCAAGAGCAAUUAAAUCACAAUGUGGAUCAUCUGUAAAGCAAAAUCAUACAUCAGGAAAAUUGUAAAGAACUUCCUUUGUAUGAUUAUAAAUAUGCUUCAUUAACCCAAAGUUUGAUUUUUCUUUCUUCUUAAUUUAUUGGAAUAAUAGGCUGCUUGUAAAUAUGUGAUUUACAAGCUGACUGGGUUAGACUUCUUGGUAGAAUACUUUCAAAAUAGAUAAGCAGCUGAAGGAAAGUUAGGUAGAGAGCUCCUAAACAUGAGAUGCCACAUCCCAAGAAAGGACAGAAUCUUUUGACAACCAUGUGGAGCAGUGAAGCUGGACUUCCAGAAACUUCCUAUGACCCGAAAUCACCUACUUUGGUAAGAAAGGAUGUUCUAGUUAUGCUCUAGUUGUCAAAUUUUUCUGGUUUUAAUUGAUUGAGUACUUGAAUUUUUUUGUUCAAAUGAAUGCCUGCUUCCUUUUUUUCUAGAAUCAUGACUAAGUGUAUGUGCUUAGGUUGAGGCAGGUGAUGCUUGUUCCUUAUUAAUUCAUUGACAAAGGAUAUCAGGGCAUGCUGACUUCUGUUCUCAACAAAAUUUUCCAUUGUAGUUCUUCAGUUGACAUUAGAUCAGAUUAGCUCAAGUAUUUAAAACACAAUGAAAUUGACAACUCUACUGUAUGGGUCAAUGAAUUUUUAUUUUAUUUUUUUUUAGAAAAAGUACAGGUGAAUUAAUUCCACAUAAAAAGUGGGGCAUUCCGAGAAUCGAACUCGGGACCUCUCGCACCCAAAGCGAGAAUCAUACCACUAGACCAAAUGCCCACUUAUUGAUGUAUGUGUUGUUUUGAUUCUGAUCAAAUUUAAGGGAUCAGUCACUAUUGAUCUCCAACUGCUCCUGUUAAUUUUUAAGCGAAACUACCUUCAUCUGAAGGAGCUUACUCUUCUUGGUGCCCCACCACCUGAGAUUUAGUAUUUUGUGAUGCCAAUGUCUUUAGCAGGAUGAUGUAGAACAUGAUAAAAUUACAUCUGGAUCUCAUAUUUUGAACCCAAAACAUCUGUUGGUAUUAUAUUGCCUAUUUCAUAGGCUCAAACCCUGUGGCAUCCUUCAGAGACAAGGAGUUGAUUUGGCCCUGGAUAGCAAGAACCAGAAAAGUAAAAUUGUAUCCUAAGUUCCUAACCAAGUAAUUGCACACUCAAUUCUUUGCCCAUCUCAUCGUUUUAGUUCUUUGGUUGCCCAGAAUAUAGAGGAAAAAAGAAAUUUAUUUUGAAACCCUUUCAUUAAUUUGGAGGUUGUUCUCUUCCAAAAUAUUCCUUUUCCUUUUUUCCUGCUUAAGAUUUCUCUGCAGCCAGCACAUACUGUUUGCCUUUGGGAAACAAAGUGAGCUGGAUGGUUAGUUCUUGUUUGUUCCCAUGGCAAGAUUAACAAAAAAGCUUGCAUAGUUUGACAAUUUCCUCUUUUAUCAGAGGGUGGCAUUCAAUCAAAAUCUACUUUGCUGUAGCUUCUGCAUAACGUUUACUUUCUAAUGCUGUUCAUUGUUAGGAUGCUAUCUUCAAAUAUGAUCAAACUGGGAUGCAGACCAACUUUUAAAAAUCAGGAAAAUCAGAGAGAAUUUUCGUGGGGUCAAAGUGUGUCUCCUUGAUCCAAAGAAAAAGUAUGUUACAAAGUUAAAGUGUGUUCCUUUGACCCAAAAAUGAAGCCUAUUUACCUCCUUCUUACAAGACCGAAUUAGAAUGCUUGGUGCAGUAGUUGAAAGGAGGAGCAGCUGAGAGGAAAGUUAGGUGGAGAGCCCAAAAUCAAAAUGUGACGUCUCAAGAACAGAAUCUUUUGGCAGCUGUAUAAAGCAGUGCAGCUGGACUGUCAGAAACUUCUCACUGCCCAAAAUCAAUUG